GAUGAACGCUGGCGGCGUGCCUAAUACAUGCAAGUCGAACGAGGUGCUUUUGUAGCAAUACGAGAGUAUCCUAGUGGCGAACGGGUGAGUAACGCGUGGAUGACCUGCCCCAAAGUGUGGGAUAACAGUCCGAAAGGAUUGCUAAUACCUCAUGUGGUUAUCGGUUUUAGAAAGCGAUAACUAAAGGAGCAAUUCGCUUUGGGAGGGACCUGCGUCCCAUCAGCUAGUUGGUGAGGUAAUGGCUCACCAAGGCUACGACGGGUAGGGGACCUGAGAGGGUGGCCCCCCACAAUGGAACUGAAACAACGGUCCAUACACCUACGGGUGGGCAGCAGUAGGGAAGUAUUGCACAAUGGGCGAAAGACCUGAUGCAGCAACGCCGCGUGUGCGAUGAAGG
rnacentral:rRNA from 1 species